UACGGAAGGCAGCAGUGGGGAAUAUUGCACAAUGGGCGAAAGCCUGAUGCAGCUAUGCCGCGUGUAUGAAGAAGGCCUUAGGGUUGUAAAGUACUUUCAUCGGGGAGGAAAAACAAAACUAAUAAUUUUAUUUCUUGACGUUACCCGAAAAAGAAGCACCGGCUAACUCCGUGCCAGCAGCCGCGGUAAUACGGAGGGUGCUAGCGUUAAUCAGAAUUACUGGGCGUAAAGAGCACGUAGGUGGUUUUUUUAAGCCAGAUGUGAAAUCCCUGGGCUUAACCUAGGAACUGCAUUUUGAAACUGAAAUACUAGAGUAUCGUAGAGGGAGGUAGAAUUCUAGGUGUAGCGGUGAAAUGCGUAGAUAUCUGGAGGAAUACCUGUGGCGAAAGCGGCCUCCUAAACGAAUACUGACACUGAGGUGCGAAAGCGUGGGGAGCAAACAGGGAUUAGAUACC
rnacentral:rRNA from 1 species